GUCCUGGCCCUAAACGAUGGGUACUAGAUAGUAGACUGGACAUGGGUUUACUGUCGAAGCCAAAGUGCUAAGUACCCCGCCUGGGGAGUAUGGUCGCAAGGCUGAAACUCAAAGGAAUUGACGGGGGCUCACACAAGCGGUGGAGCAUGUGGCUUAAUUCGAGGCUACGCGAAGAACCUUAUCCUGGGCUUGACAUGUGCGAAAGCGGAGGGAAGUAGGGGACGGAAACGCACCCCCAACGGUAUCCAGUCCGGAACCUUCUACAGGUGCUGCAUGGCUGUCGU
rnacentral:rRNA from 1 species